CGCGUGUGCAAGGCGGCGGCUGUCUUUGCUUCGCGCUCCGGCGCGGGUCUGAGGUAAAAUUUUCGCCCCUUGGUGUGUCCCUCCUCUGUGCGGUCAAGCAGGAGGGGAAGACACCAAAGAAGAGGCUUGAGGUCAGAGGACGCUGGCCUCGCGCGCCGACCUGGCCGCCCCGGCCUCCGGCCGGCGCUCCCGGGCGGCGGCCCUUCCCCCGAGAGCCCGGGCCCUCUCGGCCAGCCGAGGUCCGGGCGGCAGCUCUGGGAGGAGGCGGGUCGGCCAGGCCUUGUCUCCAUCCGCGAUGCUCCCGAUUUCAAAAGGCUCCAGAGCAACCUUUGGGUUCUUUCUCCACAAGGAAAAGGAAUAGCAUCUCCGUCGUUCUCGUCACGGUGACUCCGGCCCCAAUGGCCCCCUGUUCCCGGGUCCCGGUGAGCACUCGGUGGCUUUGUUCCGGCCGUGGGUGUCGGCUAUUGAAGUUUGGUAUUCAUCUUGAAAUUAUUAUUAUUAUUUUUUGUCCGCGCUGCGCAGCUCAGUGGAUCUUAGUUCCCCAACCAGGAAUUGAACCCCAGGCUCCUGCAGUGAGAGCGUGGAGUCCUAACCACUGGACCAACAGGGAAGUCCCUCAUCUUGAAAUUCUUAUCUAAAGAAAAUCUGUGGCGUCAAUAAAACGAACAUCCAUGAACCUUUCAUCUAGAUUCACUAAUUAAGAUUUUGUCUUUCGUUAUAUAUAUUAUGAUGAACCAUUUAAUGGGAAAUUGCAGACAUUCACUUCCGCCUUUAAUCUUCAGCGUUCAUCUCUUAAGAAUGAGGACAGUCUCCUACUAAGAACAAAACUGCAUUGUCC
rnacentral:lncRNA from 1 species